rnacentral:lncRNA from 1 species
GAGAAGGUAGUGUUAAUCAAAUUUAUAGAUGUUGGGAAAAAUGGAUACAUUUGCACUUACAAUAAUGAUCACUUGAUUUAUGAUGUGUCUUUUAGGAGAGAUAUUUACAAGUUUUCUAUUUUUUUCUUUCCAGUUAUAAGGAAACCAGAUUUGUUUCAUUUUCUUCAGUUAAUGAAACUCACUCAAAAGCAUAUGUUGGGGUUCAGUGAGAUAAGAAACUCUCUCAGCAGAGGUGUAUCCAGAACUCAGGAAGACCUGGAUCUUUGUUUUGUUCAAGAUUUGGUCAAUAUUGUCAACCUGCAAGCAACCAGGUCCAGAUGCAGAUUGUGAGAGUUCAGUCAUCUUAACAGUGUCACAGCACAUGGGACUGCUCCUGAGACUGGAGGGGGACUGGGACAUCUGGUAGGAGAGAUGGAAUAGGUGAGAUAAUUGUGCCAUCUGGGAAUGGUGCAUCUUCACCAGAAGGAUUCUGGACAGACAUACAUGGAGGUACUUUUUUAGAUGUCAUUAGACUUUAUAAUUUUGGCUAAUACCACAGGUUUAAAAAUUGGCCUUUCAAUGCUAUUGCAUAUUAUACUUUUAAAUUAUAAAUACACUUGAACAUUUUCAUUUCUCCUGGCCAACCCAUAUUAUUUUUAGUAAAUUGUCUAUGCAUAUAUUUAAUCCAUUUUCUUUUAGUGUUAAAUGUUUUUUUUAUAAGAAUUUUGUAUGUGAAAGAUUGAGAGCAGUAUAAGAAUAGUAUAUGUAUUUUGUCCUGUAAUCU